rnacentral:rRNA from 1 species
UAGGGAAUAUUAGUAAUGGGCGAAAGCCUGAACUCGCAACACCGCGUGUGCGAAGAAGGCCUUCGGGUUGUAAAGCACUUUUUGAGAGGAUGAGGAAGUACGGUACUCUCAGAAUAAGUCUCGGCUAACUACGUGCCAGCAGCCGCGGUAACACGUAGGAGGCAAACGUUAUCCGGAUUUACUGGGCGUAAAGCGCGUGUAGGUGGUUUGGUAAGUAGAGUGUGAAAGCUACUGGCUUAACUGGUAGAGGUCGUUCUAAACUGACGGACUAGAGGGUGGUAGAGGGAGGUGGAAUUGGGGGUGUAGCGGUGGAAUGCGUAGAUAUCAGGAGGAACACCAGUGGCGAAAGCGGUCUGCUGGAACUCUACUGACACUCAGACGCGAAAGCGAGGGUAGCAAACG